GGAAUUUCUAGAUAACCCAAGCAUUGGGGCCACCAAUCAAAUCCUCCAAACGGAAGAAAAUCCGACAUGGAUGGACGAGAUUAUUGUCUAUCUCCGAAAAGGGAUCCUGCCAGAAGAUAAGCUCCAAGCUCGCCGCCUCCAAUAUAGAUCCGCAAGGUUUUGCAUUUUUAAGGGCAAGCUAUACAAAAGGUCUUUUUCAGGGCCGCUUUUGAGAUGCCUCUGACCAGAAGAGGUAGAGUACGUUCUACGAGAAAUACACGAAGGCAUAUGCGGGAAUCACUCCGGAGCAAGGUCAUUGGCGAAGAAAACUAUUCGCCAAGGAUAUUUUUGGUCGACCAUAGAACGAGAUGCGGCAACAUACAUCAGGAGAUGCGACAAAUGCCAGAGGUUUGCCCCCGUUAGCCAUCUCCCUCACACCGAGAUGGUACCGAUGUCCAGCCCCUGGCCAUUCGCCCAGUGGGGGAUAGACAUUCUGGGUCCCCUACCGCAAGUUCCUUUGCAAAGGAAGUUUUUAAUCGUCGCCAUAGAUUAUUUCACUAAAUGGAUAGAAGCUCAGCCUCUUGCCAAUAUUACUGAGAAAAAUAUCCGAGAAUUCAUAUGGAAGCACCUUGUUUGCAGAUUCGGAGUCCCAAAGGUUAUCAUCUCAGACAACACAAGACAGUUCGACAACAACAGGUUUAGGUUAUUUUGUUCGGAUCUCGCCAUCUCCCAUCAUUUCUCCUCGCCCGGUCAUCCUCAAGCUAAUGGGCAAGUUGAAAUAACCAAUCGUACCAUCCUUAGGAAUUUGAAGGCGAGGUUAGACAGGUCGAAAAGCGAGUGGGCGGAAAGCUUGCCAAGCAUACUUUGGGCCUAUCAUACUACUAGUUCCUACAGGUGAAACUCCAUAUUCCAUGGUCUUCGGAACCGAAUCAGUCAUACUAGUAGAAAUAGGUAUGCCGAGCUUCAGGGUUUUGAAUUUCGACAAGGAAAACAAUGAGGCCGAGCUCAGAGUCAACCUGGACCUCCUUGAGGAAAAAAGAGAGCACGCCGAGCUACGUCAAAUGGCUUACAAGUGCCAAGUCGCCAAGUACUACAAUCAAAGAAUCAGACACCGUUCAUUCCUUCUGGGCGACCUGGUAUUGCGGAAAGUAACCCUGUCAACUAAAGAGCCAAAUGCGGAAAAGCUCGGCCCUACGUGGGAAGGUCCUUACAAAGUCAUCAAAGUCUCCCGACCAGGGACUUACUGGUUAGAAGACCCAGACGGAAAAGCACUUUCACAUCCCUGGAAUGCCGAGCAUUUGAAAAAGUACUUUCAAUGAGAGUCAAUGAGAAUCCAUUCACGCCCUAAAUAAGUUUAUUAUUUGGAUUUGUUACGAUUCGCCUAUGUUAGAUCGUCGUUUAUACGAAAGAUUGCUAUCGCCUAUAUCUAUGUCGCCAUUAUUAUAAUCGCCUAAGUUGAUGAUCGCCAGUUAAAGAAAAAUGAUGUUGCCAGUUAUUAUUUAAGUAAUUAAGUUCACCCAUUAUUGAAAUCGCCAAUAUUAUUUCAGUUCGCCAUUACUUAUGGUCGCCAUUAACGCUCAAACAAAAGACGGGGAACAAAAAUAUUUCUAUUAAAAUGAACAAAAAUUACAUCUCAACUUGCAAAAAAAAAAAAAAAAAUUUUUAUACCUCGGGGCAUUAUUUUUUACCCCCAUCGUUCUCGCCCAUCUUCUCGUUUUCUUCAUCGGCCUCGUCUAGCUCCGCCAGUAGGUCUUGAUCGACCACAGUUCCUUCCAGAUCAAUGGUGAGGUCGGGGUGAUGCCGGCGAAGUUGCACCUUGCAGAAGUUAAACUCCUCGCCGAAGUAUUUGGAGGCAGCAUCUUCAACGGCCACCAUGAACUCCGACGAGGAUUUAAACUCCUCCACGGCAGAGUCCUUGGACUUAUUCAGAGCUUCCCUCAGCUCGUUCACCAACACGCCCGUCCUCCCGCACUAGUCAGAUAGCGAGUCUCGAUCGCUCUUCAUCUUGGCGAGCUCAUCGUUGACCUGCUGCUCACGAGCGCGGGACUCGGCCAGUUGUUGAUCCAGAUCGGCAGCAACCUUCUGGAGGCGAGUAAUUUCGGUCUCCAUGAAAGUAGCUCGCCCUUCUUGAAGAGUUGCCAGCUCCCCGGCCUCCCUGCUCCGUAUAGCCAAAGAUGAGCCGAGCACCAACGCCUGCUAGCAAUCCACAGUUUGUUAAAUCGAUAGAGCAAAUUGAAAAACCCCCCGAAGAGUACCUGACCGAUCACAUGGAAGAGCUUCGUCGCCGUCUGGUCCAAGGUGAGCUUCUCCACCUUCUCCUUGUCGGCUGGGGGAAUCACCCCCCGCAGCAACUUCUCAGCCACCGACGGGCUGCCCAACAUAGAGGCUGUGGGGCCCAGAAUAGUGCCGAGGUUGGCCGAGGAACCUUCCCCGGAGCGAGGAGAAGCGGCGGCUGGAGUGGUCGGGGUUUUGCUCGAAGACGUUUUCUUCUUGGCCUCAAGGGCGAUGCUGACCCCCUUUC
rnacentral:lncRNA from 1 species